CACCAGUGGCGANGGCGACUUUCUGGACGAAAACUGACGCUGAGGCGCGAAAGCCAGGGGAGCGAACGGGAUUAGAUACCCCGGUAGUCCUGGCCGUAAACGAUGGGUACUAGGUGUAGGAGGUAUCGACNCCUUCUGUGCCGGAGUUAACGCAAUAAGUACCCCGCCUGGGGAGUACGACCGCAAGGUUGAAACUCAAAGGAAUUGACGGGGGCCCGCACAAGCGGUGGAGUAUGUGGUUUAAUUCGACGCAACGCGAAGAACCUUACCAGGUCUUGACAUUGAUGGACAGAACCAGAGAUGGUUCNUCUUCUUCGGAAGCCAGAAAACAGGUGGUGCACGGUUGUCGUCAGCUCGUGUCGUGAGAUGUUGGGUUAAGUNNNNNNNNCGAGCGCAACCCCUAUCUUAUGUUGCCAGCACUUUGGGUGGGGACUCAUGAGAGACUGCCGCAGACAAUGCGGAGGAAGGCGGGGAUGACGUCAAAUCAUCAUGCCCCUUAUGACCUGGGCUACACACGUACUACAAUGGGAGUUAAUAGACGGAAGCGAGAUCGCGAGAUGGAGCAAACCCGAGAAACACUCUCUCAGUUCGGAUCGUAGGCUGCAACUCGCCUACGUGAAGUCGGAAUCGCUAGUAAUCGCAGGUCAGCAUACUGCGGUGAAUACGUUCCCGGGCCU
rnacentral:rRNA from 1 species